GACUUUCCUCUGAGCUGGUAAGGAGGAUCUUUGCUCUGGCAUCCCUGGGAAAAGACUAAUCUCGUGGAAAGAUUAGGAAAUUCCUGUGUUGGAGAACUGCCUUGGAGGAGACCUGCCUUUCCCUGAGGUACAGAGAUCAACCUGUCAAAAACAACUUGGUUAAGGUGACUUAAAGCUGAAUGUUUGAACUGUUAAAGGCUGGAUCUGCAAAACUGAAAUGAGAACAGAUAUAUCACACCAGAGUCUCAUAGCUGCUUUAGGCAAGAACUUUGAUGGGAUUUAAGUUAUAGUCAAUUAGAGUUGGUUUUAAAAGAUGGGUCAGGAAUUCAGCCCUCAGAAUCCUGGAAUUCUAGAGAACAGUGUAAGAGUAAAGAAGAAAGCAUGGACAGCCAUGGCAAUUGCACAAAUAAGCUAUUUCCUUCAGAGAUCUAAGAGCUCUCUAGCUUUGAAGAUAAAAGGACAUACUGUUUCACAGCUGAAAACUUUCCAUGACAAGUUGCUGAGAGAGAUAGAGAAUUUGAAAUCCUGUUAAGUGUCCUGAGGAGCUGAUUGGAGAGGAAGGUACCUGGUUCUCCCUGGAAUAUGAAGUAGACAGCAGGCCCCUCUUUUUCUGUACUCAAGGACAAGAGCAAGCCUGAAAGCUGGAUGUACCCAGUAUAAUUGCAUCUAGCCCAGACUCAGCAGCUCCACCACCUGUGAAAACUCGUAACCUGAUCCCGAAUAACUAACUGCUGGGAAGCUGGGAGGGUCCUCAUGGAGAUAAUACUUUCCAGAAAAAAAAUUCCAUUAUGGGGGGCAGAGAAACUUGAGCCUAAUGCUGGAGGAAUCCACUGCGCUAAAUGGAAAAGCCUCUUCUGAAAGCAGUUGAUGGUUCAAAUAGUCAGUGUAAUAUGUGUGUGUUUGAUCCCUCCAGUGAGAACAGAAAAAUAAUGGUCCACACAUUUGUUCUUCUUAAUAGAGCCUUAUGGGAGAUUAGUGAGGGCCAGUAAACCACAUUCCAAUGGAGAAUAAAAAAUUCAGAAAUCAAGAGGAAAAGGGGAAA
rnacentral:lncRNA from 1 species